rnacentral:lncRNA from 1 species
GCUUUAGAAAGCAAGCACAGCUCUCUUCACGGUCCUGUUUGAUGCGCCUCCUACUAUUGCGGUCAGUGAGGUGUUGAUUCUCCCGUAACCCUGUGUGGUAUCUUGGGUUCAGCAGCUUACUGUUGGACACAGAGGGAGUUGAAACAGAAUCCGGGAAAGAACACUGCUUGACCAUUCCUCUGUGCAAAUCUGAGUGAAGAGCACUGCUGCUAUGGAAAUAAACUGUGGCUUUUGGAGUGUGGAACAGAAGAUAAAUGUACUUCACACACUAUUUGCUCUGAAACAGCUCUUUUGAACAGUGCCUUAUUUAGCAGCAGUGCCUUUCAGAAAUGAUAACUAAGUUGCCAGAAGGAGGUAACCUGCCCGUUUCACCCUGGGUUUGGCCGAGCACCUGCAGGGGCCUUGGUGCCUGCGGCUGGCGCUGUGUGUCAUGGCAGUUGUAGUAAGCUUGCAAUAAGCUGCGAGAGCUGGAGGAGGAAGAGGCUUACUACAGGCGGCGUAGUAAGGGAAAACAAGCACUUAGCUCCUGGCUUACGUGUUUUAAGACCAGAACGCGGAGCUGGGGAAACUUCACGUGUCCUUCUGCCAGCAGCGCUCCCUGGCACUGAGCCGAGCGCUGGGCAGAGCCCCCCCCGGGUUGGCCCCAAAUUUCCCCCCGCCCCUCGGAGGGGCCGCCCGGUGCUGGGGGGGCCCGGCCCGGGGGCGGGGGCGCUCGGUCUCCAUAGCAGCGCCGCAGCAUCCUCGGCAUCCCCGGCACCGGCGAGGAGAGGAGCGGAGCGCAGCGCAGCGGGGCUCCCCCGUGCUCCCCAGGGCUGGCUGGGCUCCGAGACCUCCUUCCGAGCAGCCGGAGGGUCCCGGCGCCGCCUCGCACCGUCCCCAUCCUCUCCUCCUGCUGCGCUCUCCUCCGGCUUUUUCUGUUAUAUUUUAUCUUUUUUUUUUUUUCCCCCUUCCCGGCUCGCGGCAGGCAUCGCCCAGCAUGCCGAUCGCCCACUUGCUGGAGCUAUGGAAAGGCAUCGAGGUGGAGCCCAUGGAGACGGAGCCUGUGGUGGAAGAUGUUACCCUGGAUGAAGAACCUGUAAAAGAGGUAAGUCUCUUUGUCUCCCAUAUAUUAGUAAACUGUUAUAUCAUCUCUUUGCCUUCAUGGAAAUAAAAGCUCUCUCUCUCUCA